rnacentral:rRNA from 1 species
GACGAACGCUGGCGGCGUGCUUAACACAUGCAAGUCGAACGGACAGGCCCUGCUUUUGUGGGGUGCUCGUGUGGCGAACGGGUGAGUAACACGUGAGUAACCUGCCCUUGUCUUUGGGAUAACUUCAGGAGACUGCGGCUCAUACCGGAUAGGAGCUCCUGCUGCAUGGUGGGGGUUGGAAAGUUUCGGCGGUUUGGGAUGGUCUCGCGGCUUAUCAGCUUGUUGGUGGGGUAGUGACUUACCAAGGCUUUGACGGGUAGCCGGCCUGAGAGGGGGAACGGCCACAUUGGGACUGAGAGAGGGCCCAGACGCCUACGGGACGCAGCAGGGGGGAAUAUGGCGCAAUGGGCGGAAGCCUGAGGCAGCAAUGCCGGGUGCGUGAUGACGGGCUUCGGGGUGUAAACCGCUUUCGCCGGUGACGAAGAGAGAGUGACGGUAAUGGGUAAAGAAGCACCGGCUAACUACGUG